AGAACGAACGCUGGCGGCAUGCCUAACACAUGCAAGUCGAACGAGACCUUCGGGUCUAGUGGCGCACGGGUGCGUAACGCGUGGGAAUCUGCCCUUGGGUUCGGAAUAACAGCGAGAAAUUGCUGCUAAUACCGGAUGAUGACGUAAGUCCAAAGAUUUAUCGCCCAAGGAUGAGCCCGCGUAGGAUUAGCUUGUUGGUGAGGUAAGAGCUCACCAAGGCGACGAUCCUUAGCUGGUCUGAGAGGAUGAUCAGCCACACUGGGACUGAGACACGGCCAGACUCCGUACGGGAGGCAGCGAGGUGGGGAAUAGUUGGACAAGUGGGACG
rnacentral:rRNA from 1 species